ACGUCACAAGAAACGAAAAUCGCUCAACACAAAAAACCCUUAGAAAAAACAUGUCAAAUACAUGCCUGGACCUAGUAGAGAGAAUCCAGAGUAAGCGAGCCCUAACACCCUCAAAACCCGACUCACCAGAAGGUCUGGAACUCCCAAUCAUCCUUAAGUACCUACAAAUACUUAUAGAAGAAGGAACCCAAGCCAUACCCAACGACAUCCUCAGCGAAUGGAAGGCCCUCUUAAACAAGGUGCCCCCAAAGGUUGUCAAGCCCUCGUAAGAGGCACCUCUCGGAGUGGGCCAAGGCAGAGCGGAGGGGUUCGAAUCCCCUACGAUCAUCCCCUAGUUGGUGGGACGCACUGCUGACGAGCCACCUCCCUAAUCAAAGAGAGAAGGCAACUUCACUCAGGAGAUCAAGAUGAUCAGAUACCGUCGUAGUCCUGACCGUAAACUAUGCCGACUAGGGAUCGGGCGUUGUAUUUCAUGACCGCUCGGCACCUUAUAGAAAUCAAAGUCUUUGGGUACCGGGGGGGUAUGGUCGCAAGGCUGAACUUAAAGGAAUUGACGGAAGGGCACCACCAGGAGUGGAGCCUGCGGCUAAUUUGAUCACACGGGGAAACUCACCAGGUCCAGACAUAGUAGGAUUGACAGAUUGAGAGCUCUUUCUUGAUUCUAUGGGUGGUGGUGCAUGGCCGUUCUUAGUUGGUGGAGUGAUUUGUCUGGUUAAUUCCGAUAACGAACGAGACCUUAGUCUGCUAAAUAGUUGGGCUCACUUUGGUGGGGUUUCAACUUCUUAGAGAGACUUCUUACGCAUAGUGAGAGGAGUUUGAGGCAAUAACAGGUCUGUGAUGCCCUUAGAUGUUCUGGGCCGCACGCGCGCUACCAAUGAUGGAGGCAGCAAGUUAAUUCACCUUGGCCGGAAGGCCGGGUAAUCUUGUGAACUUUAUCGUGUUGGGGAUUGUCCUUUGUAAUUAUCGGACAUGAACGAGGAAUUCCUAGUAAGCGCAAGUCAUCAGCUUGCGUUGAUUACGUCCCUGCCCUUUGUACCACCGCCCGUCGCUACUACCGAUGAAUGCUUAGUGAGACCUCCGGAUCGACGAUUUUUGGGCCGCAAGCCUGAUGGUUGUUGAGAAGCUGGUCAACUGGUCAUUUAGAGGAAGUAAAAGUCGUACAAGGUACCGUAGGUGAACUGCGGUUG
rnacentral:rRNA from 1 species